rnacentral:tRNA from 1 species
GAGAUGUUAGUAAAAUAAUUACAUAACCUUGUCAAGGUUAAAUUGCAGGUGAAAAUCCAGCACAUCUCU